rnacentral:rRNA from 1 species
GUCCACGCCCUAACGAUGCUUACUCGACGUAUGAAGCUAGACUUUGUGCGUCCAAGGGAACCGUUAAGUAAGCCACCUGGGGAGUACUACCGCAAGGUUGAAACUCAAAGGAAUUGACGGGGCCCGCACAAGCGGUGGAGCAUGUGGUUUAAUUUCGAUGAUACGCGAGGAACCUUACCAAGGCUUAAAUGGGAACGACAGGUUUGGAAACAGACUUUUCUUCGGACGUUUUCUAAGGUGCUGCAUGGUUGUCGU